rnacentral:rRNA from 1 species
AUGUGGACUGAGUCAGACGGCGGCAACCACCAGGGCCAGGAGCAUGGGCAUGGCGCGGCUACCCUGGUCCCAAGCCUAACACCAUCGUUGGGUGGUGUCGUCCGUCUCCGUCCGCCAGGAAAGGGCCAAGCCCCGGGCCGACGUAAAGGACUUCUACCUCCUGCCUCGGCGUCCAAGGUGCAGCCCCGUCGCAACACUUCAAGCCGGCCGCCUUGCCCUAGCCCGCUUAGUCGAUCCUAUACUGUCACCAAGCACAAGAACAAAAGCAAGGCUCUUUUGGCAUGUGGUACAAGUUCAAUCAGCCAGGUAGAUGCUCCUUGUGACACAUCUGCCCCAAUGGAUGAAGAUGCAGAUCAUGUCAUUCUUUCAGAUGAUGAAGAUGGACAGGAGGAGGAGGUGGAAGAGGUCAAUGAAGCAGGCAAACGGAAGCUAACUUCUAAAGUUUGGUUGGAAAUGAAGAAGAUGAGGAUCAAUGGACAAUGGAAAGCAAAGUGUAACUAUUGUCACAAGGAACUUGCUUCAGGACCUAGAGCAGGCACAAAGCAUCUUGCUUCUCAUCUAAAGAUUUGUACUCUCAAGAUGUUGAAGAUGAAGUGA